rnacentral:lncRNA from 1 species
GUGGAGUGAUUGAUUAUAACCCUAUCUGAUUUUGAUGAGCUCAAAGCAUUUGAGUAUAUCUUAUGUUUACUAAUGAAUUCAAUAUAGUGUUUCAGUGAAAUUCUUGUAUAUUUAUGGUUAAGUGUCUCUAGAUUUUGGUUCAAGACAUUUUGGAUAAGUUAAGAAGUCAAUUUGAACCAAAGUCUGAGACUCGAGUCGACUCCGG